rfam:Ornithorhynchus anatinus chromosome 1, whole genome shotgun sequence.
CCCCUCUCAGGAUCACACUUGGAGAGUUCCCAGUACUCUACCAGUUCGACUAUAGGAGGGAGAGUCAAGCAGAACCAUACCCAUUCCAUUCCUAGCAUGGGCAGUGGCUAGCUAGUGGAAGGCAAUCUGCUACAAGU